rnacentral:rRNA from 1 species
UGCAAGUCGAGGGGUAACAGGGAUUGCUUGCAAUCCGCUGACGACCGGCGCACGGGUGCGUAACGCGUAUGCAACCUACCUUCUACAGGGGGAUAGUCAAUAGAAAUGUUGAAUAAUACCCCAUACGAUCAUUAAUCUGCAUGGAUUGAUGAAGAAAGUUCCGGCGGUAGAAGAUGGGCAUGCGUCCUAUUAGUUAGUUGGUAAGGUAACGGCUUACCAAGACAUCGAUAGGUAGGGGUCCUGAGAGGGAGAUCCCCCACACUGGUACUGAGACACGGACCAGACUCCUACGGGAGGCAGCAGUGAGGAAUAUUGGACAAUGGAGGCAACUCUGAUCCAGCCAUGCCGCGUGCAGGAAGACUGCCCUAUGGGUUGUAAACUGCUUUUAUACAGGAAGAAACCCCUCUACGUGUAGAGGCUUGACGGUACUGUAAGAAUAAGGAUCGGCUAACUCCGUGCCAGCAGCCGCGGUAAUACGGAGGAUCCAAGCGUUAUCCGGAAUCAUUGGGUUUAAAGGGUCCGUAGGUGGAUAAUUAAGUCAGAGGUGAAAUCCUGCAGCUUAACUGUAGAAUUGCCUUUGAUACUGGUUGUCUUGAGUUAUUAUGAAGUGGUUAGAAUAUGUAGUGUAGCGGUGAAAUGCAUAGAUAUUACAUAGAAUACCAAUUGCGAAGGCAGAUCACUAAUAAUAUACUGACACUGAUGGACGAAAGCGUGGGGAGCGAACAGGAUUAGAUACCCUGGUAGAAGGGC